CCUUCCCGAAGCGGAAGCAGCUCGCGCUGCCCACCGGAGGGCGGAAGGAGAUCGCGAGCGCCGGGGACCCUCGGCCAAGCUCUCGCCGCCCGCUGCUGGGGGCCCGGCUCUCGGUCGCCUCCAGGGGUGAGCAGUGGAGACAGAACAGCGAGUCGGAGUACUCGCGUAACGACCUCAGGAAGGAUCUCCACCUUACCACGGACUUACAGAUUAUUCUACUGGCAUAAACUAUCGGUAUCAACUAAUGGUCCCUGGCUUCAGAGAAAGGUGAAAUAUGUGGAUAAAGAUUGAGACGUGGUAAUUCCCACGGGCGUAGGCGCCUGGGUGCAACACGUGGGCUGGAGAGAUGAGCCAGUGGUUUGACCUGUGUGGCUGGGAUUCGUUCGCAGAAGCCACACGUCCAGUGCGUGCUGGGUUUACCAGUUCAUCUAGAGUUCAUCCGCAGCUGGUGAAUGAUGACGCUUUCUACAGAGAGGAAAGACAGCAUUGUCAGUUCACGUGUAACUCAAGCGGUGGCUGAUGUAAGGACCUACACCACAGCACUCCACCAAAGGUUGUAAAUGUUAAAUGACAAAACAAACAAAAACAAGUACAUGAGCCCAGUUCUCUCUGUGCAGUACUCUGCUAUCUGGGGUGCCUUCUCUAUAUCGGCUUAGCUACUUUCAGUCUAAAAUCCCUAAAGGCCUUUGAAAACCAUGUCUGCUAUUUUACCAAUGUUAAGAAAAUAUUAUUUAAGGAAAGAACUGAACAAAAAGAUAGUGAUUACCAUAUACCAUCCUCAUAAAGGAAAAACAGACUAAAAGUGGCACCUCAUGUCAAAAACUCAACUCUCGCCACGAUGCUGGUCGCAAACUGAACUGGAUGAGAACCGAAUCAAAUUUCCCCAAAAGGUCAACGCUGAACCUAACCAUUGAAUUUGAUUUUGUCCAAUUCAGUUGGCAGACAGGGUUGAGGAAAGAACUAAGUUCCUGAACAGAGGUACCAGUUAUUUCCUAUAACUGUUUUCCUGGCCAAACUCUUUCCAUUCUGAAAAAUAUUCACACCACUUUAAUUUCAUUUUUUAAAUGUACUUGCGUCAAAGUUUUAGCAAGAAGAUAUCCAUUCUUUCUUCCUACGAAGUCAAUAGACCUGGAUAACUCACUUUCCCUCUGGCUCCUUUUUGCUUAACAGUAAAUGCUUUUAAAUCUAAAUUCAUUCUUACCAGUAAGAAAUGGUUGAGAUGGUAAUUCAAAUAGGCUGCCACAUUAUGGAUUCUUAAUAUUUAUUUUUUUUUUUUGCUUUAUAUUAAUUUGUAUGCCUGCAUGAACCUGUAUCAUCACUUUUUCACUCAGUCCUUUGAAAAUCUGGCACUGGGGUGGCACCCUGUGCUAGUCAUGGAACAUCACUGGAGUUAUAUAAAGCAGAGGAAAGAAAAUAAGCCUGAGAUGAUUUCUCCACCUGUAAACUGUAUUGCUUCCUGUCAAAAUAUGGCAGUGUUGUGAUUGCAGAAACAUGUCAAUUUUCAUCAAUAGCAUGCAGAAGGUUCCACCUAUUAUUUUCACUUUAAUCUCAAUAAUCUCCUACUUAACAUUUUAUAUUGACUUCAGUAAUUAAUAUCUAAGUAAACAUGAAUUUAAUCAUAGCCACACAGACCUAGAGGUGCACACUAAUUCUGUACAGUGGAUGAUCUGACAAAAAGAAAAUGUUUUCUAUUUGGUUUCAUUAGCUUUACCUCACAACGGCCACUAGGUGGCGAUCUUUCCACUCUUUUCUUCAGCCCUUUGGCUUCAAUGCGAGGGAAAACAUAAAAAACAAAGUGGAAUAUCCAAAUGUCUUAUUUUCUUAGUCAGAUUUGGCUAUGAAAGUUUUAUAAAUCUUUAAGCUAUAUAUACAAUUUUUCACUAUA